rnacentral:tRNA from 1 species
GCCUGGGUGGCUCAGUCGUUUAAGCGUCCGACUUCGGUUCAGAUCAUGAUCUCACGGUUCGUGGGUUCGAAGCCCACGUCAGGCU